GGAGGGGGAAACGGCCGAGGCUGGAACUCAGGCUUACUGGGAAACUAGCGAGGCCGGCACUCAGGCGACGUGGGAAUCUGCGGAGGCCGACACUCAAGCGGAUUGGACUGACGGUGGUCAGGGAGGCUGUUACAUAGGCGCGGUGCUGCCGAGCAAAAGGCCCGGUCGCCCAUGGUGCGGAGCUUGGUGUUGGGGACCCGGAGGAGCAAGCUGUU